GUGCUUUAUACUUGUUUCAGCAGCACAUAUUCUAAAAUUGGAUCAAUACAGAACAGAUAAGCAUGUCUGCUGCCUAAGGAGGGCAUGCAAAUUCAGAAAGCAUUCCACAUGUUG
rnacentral:snRNA from 1 species